GGAUGUGAGGGCGAUCUGGCUGCAACAUCUGUCACCCCAUUGAUCGCCAGGGUUGAUUCGGCUGAUCUGGCUGGCUAGGCGGGUGUCCCCUUCCUCCCUCAACGCUCUGUGUGCGUCCUCCCGAAGCUGCACGCUCAGUCGAAGAGGACGACCACCCCCGAUAGAGGAGGACCGUUCCUCGGUCAAGGGUAUAUGAGUAGCUGCGCUCCCCUGCUAGAACCUCCAAACAAGCUCCCAAAUGUCUGGAGGAAGCUACAAACCCUUGUCCGUUAUUUUACACUGGCAUCUGGGAAGACAGUUUUGAAGGAGUACUGAAGUCUUUUUGAU
rnacentral:snRNA from 1 species